UACCAGACUCCUACGGGAGGCAGCAGUGGGGAAUAUUGCACAAUGGGGGAAACCCUGAUGCGGCGACGCCGCGUGAGCGAUGAAGUAUUUCGGUAUGUAAACUUCUAUCAGCAGGGAAGAAAAAGGACGGUACCUGACUAAGAAGCCCCGGCUAACUACGUGCCAGCAGCCGCGGUAAUACGUAGGGGGCGAGCGUUAUCCGGAUUUACUGGGUGUAAAGGGGGCGCAGACGGCCAUGGCAAGCCCGGUGUGAAAGGUGCGGGCACAACCCGCAGACUGCACUGGUAACUGCCUGGCUGGAGUGCCGGAGGGGUAAGCGGAAUUCCUGGUGUAGCGGUGAAAUGCGUAGAUAUCAGGAGGAACACCGGUGGCGAAGGCGGCUUACUGGACGGCAACUGACGUUGAGGCCCGAAAGCGUGGGGAGCGAACAGGAUUAGAUACCCUGGUAA
rnacentral:rRNA from 1 species